rnacentral:misc_RNA from 1 species
CUAGCCGCCAUCUCUUGGUCGCUAUGCUACUUCUACGUGCUUGCUUGUUCCUUUUAUUUCUUUUGCAGUCAUAUAUCUUCGCUCAUAACCAUAAAGAUGGUACGGCGACGCUUCAAGGCAUAUAUCAACAAAACACGUGCGAAUUAGAUGGACCAUAGAAUGUGCUUGUUAAGAUACCAACGCAGUUAAAAGACAUACACACAGGUUUCGUCAUUUCGUAAUACUGUUAUUACACAAUCAGUAUCGGAUUCUAAAAUUAAAUCAGCUCUCAUCCCAGAUUUGUCACGUGUAGAUUGUCGUAAUCCUGAUGGCAGUGUUAAGGAGAUUAAGGAGGUUACUUUAAAAGCGUGCACUACAGCAGCGACAACGACGACGAAGAACAAAGGAGAGCAUUGCUUAUGCAGGGGAAAGAAGGAAAAGGAGGGGACAUGCCAUAAGCUGCGUACCCGCGGCACGCCAUCUACAUCGGCUUUGUGUAUUUCAUGGUUGCGCAAUAGCGCGCGACUCGAGAAAGCCGAGCGCGCGACGCACGCUGGCAUUUUUGCUUUUGUACGUCGGUCAUAGGGUUGCGCACAACACUUCGUCCAACAAUUGAUUGCGCUUCAAAGGGAGGCGAAACUCGAAUCGGACGGCGAAAAGGAAGAAGGGGAAAAGUGAAGUCGUAAAAGAGGGUACGCAACACCCAUCCCGCGACAAACCGUACCGAACAAGGGCACAGAAGGCAAGAGAGACGGAUUACCAACAUUACAGUCAGACGGAGAACAAAGGGGGAAGGGUGUAAAGAGAGA